ensembl:lncRNA
AUGCUGCUGCCGGUACAGAGAGGCUUCCAGAAGGCACUGCCCAAACCAGAACUUGAGAACGUAGAGCAACAGGAGCGUCCGUCAUCGGCCCAGAGAGGUUCUGGGUCGGUCCCUGGGUCAGCAGUCAGCCACAAGCAGCUCCACGCCCAGCUCACCCAGCGCCUGGAGGAGGUCCUCCGCAAGAGGGACCGGGGUACUGGGCCCGAGGAGCGAGCUGGAGUCCAGAUCAGAGUGCCUGAGGAGCGAGGUAGGCCACAGGACCGAGGGUCCCGAGAGCGAGCUGGAGCCCAGGGAGGAAGCGGGCCUGAGGAGCAAAGUGGAGCCCAGGGAGGACGAGGGCCUGAGGAGCAAGAUGGAGCCCAGGGAGGAAGAGGGCCUGAGGAGCGAGGUGAGCCCACUGGGAGAGGUGCCAAAGUGUCACGGCAGGAUGCAGGAAGGCCUGGUCAGACCAAGGGGAAACCUAAGAGCCAGAAGUCUCAGGAAACUGAAGCCACCCCAGGGAAAGCCCCUGUCAAACCCACCCCAGCUAAAGAUAUACAGGAGAGGGCAACACCUAACUCCAAGGUUAAGGCCACUGGGUCAAACUCCAGUAAAGACAAGAGAGAGGAGGUGGUGACGGGCACCAUGAUGAGGUUAAUCUCCAGCCACUACGAGAAUAGCACAUCAUCCACCACCAUUAAAUCCCCUGUAGAGUCUGUCCCUCGCUGGCCCCUUCCACCCACCAACAGGUACUGCAGCAACAGGUACUGCAGGAAACAAAACCAAGUGAACAUAUAACAUGGUAGAAUGAUGUGCAGAAGUUUGGUCUAGCGCAGCGGUUCCCAAACAUUUCCUUUCCGGGUACCACCAAAUCACUGUCAAAAGCUCUUGAGGACAACCAUUUGCAAAUUCGUGUAUAUCUUUUAACAAAAAAUGUAGAGUCAGUUUCAUCAGAGAAUGUAAUAAAAUGCCUAUUACAGAUGGAUGUUAAACUAUUUGCAUUGUGAAAAGCACUACACACUCCCUUCCCCCGGAGACCGGGGUUCAAUCCCUGGCUGUAGUGUAAUAAUUACAAUUUUCUUUCCUUUGUGGUAGAUCUGUUUUGGAGAAGAGUUGGUUGCCGCCAUCGAUGGUGAGUGCCUGAGCUGUUGUUUUCUGAUUGAUAAACAGAAUAAGUAAUAUUCAUUUUAAUUGUAUGAAUUUAGGUAGCAGAACGUGGUAGCAGACCGAACAGCUACCUCUGGUAAGAAGUGGGGUGGUGGUGUGUGUCUAUUUGUCAAUAACAGCUGGUGCGCGAUGUCUAAUAUUAAGGAAGUCUCGAGGUAUUGCUCGCCUGAGGUAGAGUACCUCAUCAUAUGCUGUAGACCACACUACCUACCAAGAGAGUUUAUCUAUAUUCUUUGUAGCGGUCUAUUUACCACCACAAACCGAUGCUGGCACUAAGACCGCACUCAACGAGCUGCAUAAGGCCAGAAGGAAACAAGAAAUUGCUCAUCCAGAAGCAGCGCUCCUAGUGGCCUGGGACUUUAAUGCAGGCAAACUUAAAUCCAUUUGACCUAAUUUCUACCAGCAUGUCACCUGUGCAACCAGAGGAGGAAGAAAAAAAAAACCUCUAGACCACCUUUACUCCACACACAGACGCGUACAAAGCUCUCCCUCCUUUUGGCAAAUCUGACCAUAAUUGUAUCCUCUUGAUUUCUGCUUACAAGCAAAAACUAAAGCAGGAAGUACUAGUGACUAGUAAGGAAGUGGUGAGAUGACGUGGAUGCUACGCUAGAGGACUGUUUUGCUACCCCGCAGAUCCUCAACACAAGGGCCCGUCGGGUACGUGCUUGGUCCCCUCCUAUACUCCCUGUUCACCCACGACUGAGUGGCCAAGCACGACUCCAACACCAUCAUUAUGUUUGCUGACGAUACAACGGCGGUAGGCCUGAUCACAGACAACGGUGACACAGCGUAUAGGGAGGAGGUCAGAGACCUGGCAGUGUGGUGCCAGGACAACAACCUCUCCCUCAACAUGAGCAAGACAAAGGAGUUGAUCGUGGACUACAGGAAAAGGAGGGCAGAACACACCCCUAUUCACAUCAAUGGGGCUGUAGUGGAGCGGUCAAGAGUUUCAAGUUCCUUGGUGUCCACAUCACCAGCAAACUAUGGUCGAAGCACACCAAGACGGUUGUGAAGAGGGCAUGACAACACCUAUUCUCCCUCAGGAGACUGAAAAGAUUUGGUAUGGGUCCCCAGAUCCUCAAAAGUUCUACAGCUGCACCAUCGAGAGCAUUCUGACCGGUUGCAUCACCGCCUGGUAUGGCAACUGCUCGGCAUCCGACCGUAAGGCGCUACAGAGGGUAGUGCAUAUGGCCCAGUAUAUCACUGGGGCCAAGCUUCCUGCCAUCCAGGACCUCUAUCCUAGGUGGUGUCAGAAGAAGGCCCCAAAAAAUGGUUGAAGACUCCUGUCGCCCAAAUAAUAGACUGUUCUCUCUGCUACUGCAUGGCAAGCGGUAUCGUAGGGCCAAGUCUAUCUCCAAAAGGCUCCUUAACAGCUUCUACCCCUAAGCCGUAAGACUGCUGAUCAAUUAAUCAAAUGGCCACCUGGACUAUUUGCAUUGACACCCCCCUUUAUUUUUACACUGCUGCUACUCGCUGUUUAUUAUCUAUGCAUAGUCACUUUACCCCUACCUACAUUACCUCAACUAAUCUGUACCCCCGCACAUUGACUUUCAUUUAUUUAGUAAAUAUUUUCUUAACAAUAAAAAAAAAAACUGCAUUGAUUGUUAAGGGCUUGUAAGUAAGCAUUUCACAGGACGGUACCCGUUGUAUUCGGCUCAAGUGACAAAUACAAUUUGAUUUGGAGGAUUUGUUAGGGUUGCAUAAGACGUGUUUUCCCCUCAUGCGUUCACAAGCUAGUGC